AACAAACCAAGUGUCUUCCCCCUCCCUCCUCUGCUCCCUCCCCUUCCCUCCCAAGCAAGCAGGGUUGGUUCUAGGAUUUCCAUGACUAAUCCCUGAUCUUCCCUGAAAUGGAGCCUGAAUCACCCAAUCUUUGUAGGCCACAUAGGUAUCCACUCAGAGGGCAAACUGUGCAGAGAAAGCAAGAUCUGAGAUGGUUCCUGAAGGGAGAGAGCUUUUAACUGGAGAAGAGGAGGAAAGCAUAAUGUGAUUUUUCCGGUACUGGGGAACUCCCAGCGAGGCAACUCCUUCCACCAAGGAAGAUCAGCUGCUAGUCUACAACUUUGGGUUUUGUAGAGUUGCCUAAGACACUGAGAGCUGAAGGCCCUUGCUCCAAAUCACAUCGUCUUGAACACUGACCUUUCCUGACUCCAAGCAUGCCAUCUCUGCCCAUUUAGCCCAGUGAUUGAAAACAGCUCACAAAGUGUAAGGGUAAUAUGUUUGGUGUCUCUCAUGUUGGCCUUGUUCCUCUACCUCUGCUGUCUUCUCUACUCCCACCACCCCAAACCACCCUCCCUGGAAUUAGGAGAAUAAUUUAAGUCCCUUUUUCUUCUACCGGGCAGCUAGGUGGUGCAGUAAAUAGAGCCCUGGGCUUGGAAUCAGGAAGACUUGUCUCCAUGAGUUCAAAUCCAGCCUCAGACACUUAUUAGCUGUAUGACCCUGGGUAAGCCACUUGAUCCUGUUUGCCUGGAGAAGCUGGAGAAGGGAAUGGCAAACCACUCCAGUAUCUAUGCCAGAAAAACCCCGAAUGGGGUCAUGAAGAGUCAGACAUGACUGAAACGGCCAAACAACAACAAAUUUCUCCACUCAUUGACCUAGUUCCCUAAGAUGAGGAAAAGCUUUUCCCCAUCUUUAAGGAAGGAGCUUCUUAUUCUCUGUCUUCCCUUUGCUCCAGGCCCCAAAUCUGUAACAACUAACAAGGAAAGAAAGCAAGAGUUGGGGAGGGGGCUAGGCAGAGGAGUGGGGUGUAGGCACUCCUUUGCAAGGCCUCUAUCCAAUCUGGGCCUUAGGCAGGACAGGCUGCUAGGGCCAAUGGUGGCGGGGGUGGGGGGGUGGGGGGUGUUACCUGCAACAGCAGUGGAUGGAAAACCAAAGUCAUUACUGACUGCCAUGCUGCUGGAUUUGGAUUUCUGGGACUCAUAUUUCAAUCGAUCUGGAAAAGGAAAGAAAUCCCAUCAGGUGACCUCCCAGGCUGGGUGACCAGAAGCACAGGUAGAUAGACUGAAGGUCUGGCUAGAGAAAGGGGUCUUCACCUUUGCAGUGUCAUAGACUUCUUUGGCAAUCUGAAGAAACCUAUGGACCUGUCCUCAGAACAAUGUUUUUAAAUGCACAAAAUAAAAUAUAUCAGAUUAUAAAAGAAACAAAAUGUA